rnacentral:lncRNA from 1 species
AGUCCGUUAUGCCAAUGGAGGAGUGACCUUUUCAAUUCAUCCUCGAUGCCAGCUUUUCACAUCCUGAUGGCUUUUAGUUUUUGAAUGUUUACAAGAAAUGUUUCUCUGACUCAUUCAAAGCAUCUGGAAAAAAAAUGGACUUGCUAUUCAUAAUGUUCUCAGCAAACGUGACUUUUGUGGUUCCCUCAAGGAUUUUUUGUUUAGUAAGUAUUGUAAAUCCGGAGGGACGAAUAGUAUAAUUCAUAUCAUUUUCUGUCUUGGAUAUUU